rnacentral:rRNA from 1 species
AGCGUAGACGGUGUGGCAAGUCUGAUGUGAAAGGCAUGGGCUCAACCUGUGGACUGCAUUGGAAACUGUCAUACUUGAGUGCCGGAGGGGUAAGCGGAAUUCCUAGUGUAGCGGUGAAAUGCGUAGAUAUUAGGAGGAACACCAGUGGCGAAGGCGGCUUACUGGACAGUAACUGACGUUGAGGCCCGAAAGCGUGGGAGCAAACA